rnacentral:rRNA from 1 species
UGGGGAAUUUUCCGUAAUGGGCGAAAGCCUGACGGAGCAAUACCGCGUGAGGGAGGAAGGCUUUUGGGUUGUAAACCUCUUUUCUCAAGGAAGAAGAUCUGACGGUACUUGAGGAAUCAGCAUCGGCUAACUCCGUGCCAGCAGCCGCGGUAAUACGGAGGAUGCAAGCGUUAUCCGGAAUGAUUGGGCGUAAAGCGUCUGCAGGUGGCUAUGCAAGUCUGCUGUCAAAGACCAGAGCUCAACUCUGGGCAGGCGGUGGAAACUGGGGAGCUAGAGUACGGUAGGGGUAGAGGGAAUUCCCAGUGUAGCGGUGAAAUGCGUAGAGAUUGGGAAGAACACCAGUGGCGAGGGCGCUCUACUGGACCGAAACUGACACUCAGGGACGAAAGCUAGGGGAGCGAAAGGGAUUAGAUACCCCCGUAGUCC